CACUAUGCUCAGCCCUAAACUUUGAUAGGCCCCUACGCCCCCUAUCCGCCCGGGUACUACGAGCUUCAGCUUAAAACCCAAAGGACUUGGCGGUGCUUCACAUCCGUCUAGAGGAGCCUGUUCUAGAACCGAUAACCCCCGUUAAACCUCACCCUCCCUUGUUAGCCCCGCCUAUAUACCGCCGUCGUCAGCCCACCCUGUGAAGGACUAGAAGUGAGCAAAAUUGGUAAAGCCCAAAACGUCAGGUCGAGGUGUAGUGAAUGAGAGGGGAAGAAAUGGGCUACAUUUCCUAAUCCAGGAAAUACGAACAAUGAACUGAAAUAAGCAUUAGAAGGUGGAUUUAGCAGUAAGCAGGAAAACAGAGUGUUCCGCUGAAGAAUGGCCAUAAAGCACGCACACACCGCCCGUCACUCUCCCCGAGCAAUCCUAAUAGUAUAUAUACCUAAAAAGCCAUGCCUGCAAAGGGGAGGCAAGUCGUAA
rnacentral:rRNA from 1 species